UGCUUAUUAGCAAAACAGGUAAAGCAGCUAAAUCAACUCCUGAAGAACAGAUAUUUGGGUGUUGGGAUUUAGUUGUGUUAUUUCCUGUUUCAUUUUGUAAGUGUUCUGCCUCAUGUGUCUUGUGGAGUUUUUACUUCCUGUUUUGUUUGCUUUUCCCACCAGUUUUGAUUGUUUGCCCUGCCCUGAUUAGUUUCAACUGUGUCUCGUUUUCUCCCUUCAUCUGAGUGUAUUUAAGUCUGUGCUCUUCCUUUGUUCCUUGGCAGUUCGUCUUUGUCCAUGUGUCGAGCGGUCCUGUCCUUUCCUCGUGUUUUCUCAUGUUUUGGACUUUCUACCCAGAUCAUCUGAAUACAAGGGGAAGAAGAAGCUUGUAUUGUGAAUGGAGGCUCCCAGUGGACACAUUUCCUCUUUUCCUGUGUGUUCGUCGACCACAUGGAGAAACAGACUCAAGGGGCUGUGCAGUGCUGGUGAGUCUGGUGUAGAAGUGGAAAGAGACAGAUGGGGAACUGAAAGACAAAGGGAUGGAGUGGAGAGGGAUUGUGUAAGAUGAAUGAUAAGCUGCUGAAGAGCACUUUCUAGUGGCACAAUGGAG